rnacentral:rRNA from 1 species
UGAGUGGCGAACUGGUGAGUAACACGUGGGAAACCUGCCCAGAAGCGGGGGAUAACACCUGGAAACAGAUGCUAAUACCGCAUAACAACUUGGACCGCAUGGUCCGAGCUUGAAAGAUGGCUUCGGCUAUCACUUUUGGAUGGUCCCGCGGCGUAUUAGCUAGAUGGUGGGGUAACGGCUCACCAUGGCAAUGAUACGUAGCCGACCUGAGAGGGUAAUCGGCCACAUUGGGACUGAGACACGGCCCAAACUCCUACGGGAGGCAGCAGUAGGGAAUCUUCCACAAUGGACGAAAGUCUGAUGGAGCAACGCCGCGUGAGUGAAGAAGGGUUUCGGCUCGUAAAACUCUGUUGUUAAAGAAGAACAUAUCUGAGAGUAACUGUUCAGGUAUUGACGGUAUUUAACCAGAAAGCCACGGCUAACUACGUGCCAGCAGCCGCGGUAAU